rnacentral:ncRNA from 1 species
AAGUUAAAAAUUAAUCAAGUUGUUAUUUAUUAACAACCGGGCCUUUUUUGGGCAGCAUAUAAGUAUACACUUAAUUUGCGGGACAUAA